UGCCAGACUCCUACGGGAGGCAGCAGUGGGGAAUAUUGGGCAAUGGGCGCAAGCCUGACCCAGCAACGCCGCGUGAAGGAAGAAGGCUUUCGGGUUGUAAACUUCUUUUAAGAGGGACGAGUAGAAGACGGUACCUCUUGAAUAAGCCACAGCUAACUCCGUGCCAGCAGCCGCGGUAAUACGGAGGAUGCGAGCGUUAUCCGGAUUUAUUGGGUUUAAAGGGUGCGCAGGCGGAUUUUUAAGUCAGCGGUCAAAUCGUGGGGCUCAACCCCAUCCAGCCGUUGAAACUGGGGAUCUAGAGUGUGCGAGAGGUAUGCGGAGUGCGUGGUGUAGCGGUGAAAUGCAUAGAUAUCACGCAGAACCCCGAUUGCGAAGGCAGCAUACCGGUGCACAACUGACGCUCAGGCACGAAAGCGUGGGUAUCGAACAGGAUUAGAUACCCUCGUA
rnacentral:rRNA from 1 species